ACCUCCGGGAAACUGAGGAUAAUAUUCCAUAGGUGCCUACCGCUGGAAUGCACUGGCACUCAAAAGUUCCGACGCCUUAGGAUGUGGCUGCGGCCGAUUAGGUUGACGGUGGGGUAACGGCCUACCGUGCCCUUAAUUGGUACGGGUUGUGAGAGCAAGAGCCCGGAGAUGGAAUCUGAGACACGAUUCCAGGCCCUACGGGGCGCAGCAGGCGCGAAACCUUUACACUGUACGGAAGUAUGAUAAGGGGACCCCGAGUGCCCGCGCCUAGCGUGGGCUUUUCUGAACCGUAAAGAAGUUCAGGAAUAAGGGCUGGGUAAGACCGGUGCCAGCCGCCGCGGUAACACCGGCAGCUCAAGUGAUGGCCGAUAUUAUUGGGCCUAAAGCGUCCGUAGCUCGCCGUGAAAGUCCAUCGGGAAAUCCAUCCGCUCAACGGAUGGGCGUCCGGUGGAAACUCCACGGCUUGGGACCGGAGGACCCGAGGGGUACGUCGUGGGUAGGAGUGAAAUCCUGAGAUCCUCGACGGACCGCCGGUGGCGAAAGCGCCUCGGGAGGACGGAUCCGACAGUCAGGGACGAAAGCUAGGGUCUCGAACCGGAUUAGAUACCCGGGUAGUCCUAGCCGUAAACGAUGCUCGCUAGGUGUGGCGU
rnacentral:rRNA from 1 species